rnacentral:rRNA from 1 species
GGGUUGUGAGGUUAAGCGACUAAGCGUACACGGUGGAUGCCCUGGCAGUCAGAGGCGAUGAAGGACGUGCUAAUCUGCGAUAAGCGUCGGUGAGGUGAUAUGAACCGUUAUAACCGGCGAUUUCCGAAUGGGGAAACCCAGUGUGUUUCGACACACUAUCAUUAACUGAAUCCAUAGGUUAAUGAGGCGAACCGGGGGAACUGAAACAUCUAAGUACCCCGAGGAAAAGAAAUCAACCGAGAUUCCCCCAGUAGCGGCGAGCGAACGGGGAGGAGCCCAGAGCCUGAAUCAGUGUGUGUGUUAGUGGAAGCGUCUGGAAAGGCGUGCGAUACAGGGUGACAGCCCCGUACACAAAAAUGCACAUAUUGUGAGCUCGAUGAGUAGGGCGGGACACGUGGUAUCCUGUCUGAAUAUGGGGGGACCAUCCUCCAAGGCUAAAUACUCCUGACUGACCGAUAGUGAACCAGUACCGUGAGGGAAAGGCGAAAAGAACCCCGGCGAGGGGAGUGAAAAAGAACCUGAAACCGUGUACGUACAAGCAGUGGGAGCCUCUUAAUGGGGUGACUGCGUACCUUUUGUAUAAUGGGUCAGCGACUUAUAUUCUGUAGCAAGGUUAACCGAAUAGGGGAGCCGAAGGGAAACCGAGUCUUAACUGGGCGUUAAGUUGCAGGGUAUAGACCCGAAACCCGGUGAUCUAGCCAUGGGCAGGUUGAAGGUUGGGUAACACUAACUGGAGGACCGAACCGACUAAUGUUGAAAAAUUAGCGGAUGACUUGUGGCUGGGGGUGAAAGGCCAAUCAAACCGGGAGAUAGCUGGUUCUCCCCGAAAGCUAUUUAGGUAGCGCCUCGUGAAUUCAUCUCCGGGGGUAGAGCACUGUUUCGGCAAGGGGGUCAUCCCGACUUACCAACCCGAUGCAAACUGCGAAUACCGGAGAAUGUUAUCACGGGAGACACACGGCGGGUGCUAACGUCCGUCGUGAAGAGGGAAACAACCCAGACCGCCAGCUAAGGUCCCAAAGUCAUGGUUAAGUGGGAAACGAUGUGGGAAGGCCCAGACAGCCAGGAUGUUGGCUUAGAAGCAGCCAUCAUUUAAAGAAAGCGUAAUAGCUCACUGGUCGAGUCGGCCUGCGCGGAAGAUGUAACGGGGCUAAACCAUGCACCGAAGCUGCGGCAGCGACACUAUGUGUUGUUGGGUAGGGGAGCGUUCUGUAAGCCUGUGAAGGUGGCCUGUGAGGGUUGCUGGAGGUAUCAGAAGUGCGAAUGCUGACAUAAGUAACGAUAAAGCGGGUGAAAAGCCCGCUCGCCGGAAGACCAAGGGUUCCUGUCCAACGUUAAUCGGGGCAGGGUGAGUCGACCCCUAAGGCGAGGCCGAAAGGCGUAGUCGAUGGGAAACAGGUUAA